GUACCUAAAAAUAUAUACCUACUGCGAGUAGUUGGUUUUAUGAUGUGCAUAGGAGCAGAUGUUAAUAUUUUGUGGAAGUGGUAAAAACUGUCAGAGAAACACUCAACAAAACGGAAAAAAUUCUGUGUACAUUAUAGAGUAUGAGUACCUACUAUUCAGUAAUAAUAGACUUUGCUGAAGUGCCUACGACGUUGAUAAUCUAUAUUUUUAUCGAUAACAAAAAUCAAACAAAACAAACCGCAGACAUCGUAAUUUGGACUUAUUGUUCUUAUGUGGAAAAUAUUCAAUAAUAAUAAUAAUAAC